rnacentral:antisense_RNA from 1 species
AAUGACAGAAGCAGCAGCGAGAGCCCUUCAGAGGACCGCGAGACGCGAACUCCCACCCCAGCAAACCACCAAGGGGAAGAGGCGGGCCCCCAUCCAGGAGGCCUUAGGAAGAGGAAAGCUGACUUUUCUAAAGCAAAUAAGGCAGUGUUCUCCCCAGGGCGCCAGGCUUCCCCAGCUCCAAGUCUGGGCGUCUGAAAUCUGCUGUGUAAUUGGAUCAUGCUCCGGCCCGUGCUGAGCGCCCAUCUGCGCCCGUCUCGGAAAACACAAGUCUCAGAGAAGGAAAGCAGUUGCCACAGUGUUCAGCUUAACCAAGUCAUCUUAUUUGAUAUGUGAAAGUUCUUUGAGAUGGAAGAAUCUCAGCUCAUCACUGCGAAGGAAUGCCAGGAUUAGGAAGUCAUCAGAUGCAAGCCUGCAAGCCUCAGUGUACUCCUCAAUGUCUGCAGGGCCCACCCCAGAGAGAGGCCCCUGGGUGACCAGCCGGUGAGGAGCUUCAAGAGGAAGGAUUCACCAUCACCACCUGGAUCCCGCGUGCAGCUUUUGUCACAGCGGUGGCGAGCACAGUCUCUGCCUCCUGGGGAGAUGGGGUGUGAAGCUCACAGCACCUGCGUGUGGCUGGGCCCAACAUUAACAGCGCUGCAAGAGCUCACCUCCAUUUAUAGGAAGUGGGAAGGACCCAAGGACUGGCCGAUGACACCACAGGAGGCAGAAGGCACAUCGGGGGUUGGGGGCAGCCUAUGGCCAACCUACCCUGUCCCUCUAACAACCUACCCUGUCCCUAUAACACAUUGCUGGCAGGAAACAUGGGAGAUGGCUCAGACUGGAGACCUGGGGACAUAUCUACCAAGUGCCAUGUGGGUCCUGGGUCAAAGUCACCACCGUGAAAAGACAUUUCUGAGAUAAUUUGGGACAUGUGCUAAUGGAGGGGUUUCAGAUUCCACCCAGAGACCACUGCUGGGUGCGUGGAUGGGACAGUGACACUGGGGCCCGCAAGAAAGAUCCCAUGCUGUGAGAGACAGACUGAAGGGGAAGAGGGAGUGACGCGAUGCCUGGGAUUUGCUGAAGAAAAAAAAAAGAAUAAAAAGGUCCGUCUGUAUAUGGAUGGCAAGAAUUUCUUGGUAACAAAAGCACAGCCAAUAAAAGAAAAAAUAAAUACUAAAGUCGAUGAAAAUUUAAAACUUUUGUGCAUCAAAGGGCACCAUCAACAGAGCAAAAAGGCAGCUAAAGAAUGGGAGGAAAUAUCUGCAAAUCAUGUAUCUGGUAAGGGGUUAAUAUCCAGAAUGUGCAGAAAACUCUUACAACUCAACAACAGAAACAAAAAUCUAAUUUAAAAACGGGCAAACUGGCCGGGUGAGGUGGCUCAUGCCUGUAAUCCCAGCACUUUGGGAGGCCGAGGUGGGCGGAUCACUUGAGGUCAGGAGUUCAAGACCAGACUGGCCAACAUGGCAAAACCCCAUCUCCACUAAAAUUUCAAAAAUUAGCCAGGUGUGAUGGCACGUCCCUGUAAUCCCAGCUACUCGGGAGGCUGAGGCAGAAGAAUUGCUGGAACCCAGGAGGCAAAGGUCGCAGUGAGGUGAGAUCACGCCAUUGCACUCUAGCCUGGGUGACAGAGUGAGACUCCGUCUCAUAAAUAAAUAAAUAAAUAAAAAUGGGUAAAGGACUUGAAUAGACAUUUCUCCAAAGAAGAGAUACAAAUGGCCGAUAAGGACUUUUCUGAAAAGAUGUUCAACACCACUAAUCAAUUAGAGAAAGGCAAAUCCAAACUACAACGGGACACCAUCUCACACCUGUUAGGAUGGCCAUGAUCCUAAAACAGAAAGUAAUGAUGCUGGUGAGUAUGUGGGGAAACUGGAGCCCUUGGGCACCGCUGGCAGGAAGGUAAAGUGGUGCAGCCCCUGUGGAACAUGGCACGGCUGCUCCUCAAAACCUUAAACACAGAACAAGCACGUGAGCCAGCAAUACCACUUCUGCAUCUAUGCCCGAAGGCAUUGACAGAGGGGUCUUGAAGAGAUAUCUGCACACCCACGUCCACGGUGGCAGCACUAUUCACGGUAGCUAAGAGGUGGACGCAACCUAAGUGUCCACCUACAGAUGAACAGACACACAAAAGGUGGUGUUUCCGUAGAGUGGGAUAGUUAUCAUUCAGGCUUAAACCAGAAGGAGAUUCUGAUGCAUGCUACAACACGGAGGAACCGUCGAAGGUAUUACACUGAGUGAAAUGUACCAAGCACAAAAAGAUAAAUACUGCAGGAUUCCACUG